ensembl:lncRNA
CUUUGGUACAGAAUUGUUAUAUUGAAGGGUUGAUAUGAUAAAGAUGCAUAAUCAAUUCCAUUAUUUUUUGACAUUACUAUAAGAGCCAUGCACUAGUCUCCACACAUUUAAGAACUGAAAAUGAAAAUAAUAAAAACACAAAAAUGUAUAGUUUUUUAAAAUUACUAAUCUCUCCCCCACAAACCAUUAUUUGCUAAUGAACUUUCAUAAGUUCAUGUGUUGGGAAGUAUAAUAUAUAGAAACACAUACACACACACACACACACACACACAUAUAUAUAUAAAACAUAAAAUUAAAAAAUUAUUGAAUCAACUGAGAUAAAAGAUAGUCAUUCUUCAAUUAAUUGUAAAAAUAAUGACUCAUCCCAAUAUUAGUGAAAAAGACCUUAGGUAGUCUUUAAUUCAAGAAAUAUAUUCAUAACCAAAGUAUACAAGGGGGCCUUUACAAAGUUCACUGAUAAUUAUUAUUGAGAGACUGAUGCAUGGAUUUCAGAUUUUUUUGCAUGAAAAAUAUGUUAAUUCCAUUUUCCACAAACAUUUUGGAGUCUCCUCAUACAUAUGGCUUCAAUAGAGCAGAAAGAUAUACAAGUGUGGACCAUGCAGUCAGGAUUCCAGCUUGCCACUUCCAUGUUGUCUGGUAUCAAUGAGCUACUAUACACGUUAAUGUCUGUUUUCUCUGCUGCAAAAAGGGGUAUAGUGAUAUAACCCACUGUAUAGAAUUUUUGUAAGGCUUAAUUAAGUUAAUGCAUGUAAAAUGUGAGUACUCAUUGGCAUACAUUAAGCUCAAAUUUAUUAGUUCUGAUAGUUUUAUACAUAUCAAUACUUUAUGCUUAUAUAUUUAAAAACCCAACUAUUUCUGAAUAAAUUUAGUAAUUAACAUCAUGUUAAGGCAUAUAGAGGGAGAGUUUGACAUCACAUACUUGGGGAAACCAUGGUAUAUGAGACUGGGUUAUCUAGCUAGUGAGGGAGCUUAGCUCACUGUAGCAUCCACAUGGCAUUGCAAUUUGUCCUCCUACAUUGGAUGCCAGGUUCAACUUACAGCUUCCAUAAGGAAGCCAGUGCUCAUGUAGGUGAUAGUAUUGCUAAAUCUGAAGAUGCCGUGAACAUCUUUACAACCACUGAAGAUGUGCUUGUGUUAUAUCAAAAGUAUUGGCUGCUAAUUUUAUUGUUAUUUUGCAAACCAAUAAAAUUCAAGUUAAAUAGUCUAUACCUUAUGGUUAUGCUGCACUGGUGGUGGAUUAAACAUUCUAACAGAAGUAGUUCUGAUUGUGGUUGCAGAAGCAAAUCCCCAGGAGGACAGCUAAGAACUUCAGGAAUGGUGACACCGUUCAGCAAGCAGUCCCCAGGACCCUCUGUAAUUUCAUUGUGGAAAAAUGCUACACAUUCAAGUUUUUCAAGACCCUCGGUCAACCAGAGAAUGCAAGGUGAGGGAUUUGGCUUCAGAGCAAGUUGGUCCCUCAGUUUCUUUGGGGUGGCAUUCGUGCAGCUCUUCAAUCUGACGUUUACUCAUUCCUCCAGUGCUGCCCACCACCAUUCACUGCCAACAUUAUCAUCCCCUGGAACACUGCAGACAAUAUGCUGAACUAUCCCUAGACUAAUUAAAUGACAUUAUCUGGAGACAGAGCAGAGAUGUUUCUAUUUUUAAAAAACCCACAUGAUGUUUGAAUAUCAGUCAUGGUUGUGCCCAUGUGCUAUGAGAAUCUUAUGUUCCAACUAACUUAGUCUGUCUUUUCUGUUUUUUUUUUUAAUUUAUUUAUUUAUAUGAAAGGUAGAGUUAGAGAGUUAGAGAAAGAGGGAGAGAGGGAGAGAGGAAGAAGGAGGGAGGAGGAUAAAUGGAGGGAGGGAGGGAGAGAGAAAGAGAGACAGAGACAGAGAGAGAAAUGUUCCAUCUACUGGUUCAUUGCCCCAAAUGGCCUCAAUGACUGGGGCUGGGCCAUACCCAGCCAGGAUCCUAGAGUUUCAUCUGGGUCUCCCACGGAAGUGCAGGGACUCAGUCACUUGGGGGCAUCUUCCAUGGCUUUCUCGGGCACUUUAGGGUGGAGCUGGAUCACAGGUGGAGCAGUCAGGACUCAAACCAAUGCCCAUAUAGGAUGUCAGUGUUGCAGGAGGCAUCUUAACCUGCUGUGCCACACUGGCCCCUAAUCUGGUCUGUUUUUAAUUCAAUUCAAUUCCAAAUUUGGGUCACUCAUUGGGCAUCUGGCAUAUUGAUGGUUGCUGGAGAUGAUAAGUGAGACAAGAUAAGUAUCUCAUGAUUUGGUAAGACACAUUAAGACAUGAGACUACAUGAACUCCAUCUGAUAAGUAUUAUGUUGUGAGUAAUUAGGUAAUGAGAAGGAGGUCGAUCAAACCUACUUAGGUGUAUUUGAGGAACUGGAAUGGGGAAGCCCUCACCCUUGAAAUGAGGCUCUAGAAAGAGUAUAGAAGAUUGGUAUAGAUUGAGUUGAUUCUUAGAGAAUCAAGAGGACUUAACCAAAGGAAGGAGCAUGACAGCACCUGAAACCUUCAGUCACAGUGAAUAGUUUAACUAGAAAACUGGCUGAAUUUGGGGAAUCAUUAGAGAAGACAGAGAAGAAAAGUGGGAACCCACUGUGCAGGGUUUUGAAUAUCCAUGAGAAUCCAACCCCAAGGCUAUGGUUCUGAAGAUACAAGAAUGAUUAGCAGUCAGGAUAGAUUUUAGAGAUGCUCUUGGUUCCAAGAGUGAGUCAGAUAUGAAGUGGGAAAAGGAAGCAUUGCAGUCAGAGAGAACCACACAAGAGGCUUGAAAAUGCCUGGUGAUUCUGAAGGACCAUGGUAGCCCAGCACUGCUGGAAUGUGUGCUAGAGAUGGGUGGAGAUGGAGAUAAAGUUGGGAGAUUAUUGUAUACUCUAUUCACAAGUUAGGGUUUUAUAUUGGAAUUAACAAAGGAAUAUGAGGAUUGGAGGUUAGGAUUGACAUGGUUCAUUUCUGACUUAUACUUCCUCAUUUUGUUGGUAUUGCAAGAAAUGUGAUUGAUACAAAGGGGAAAGUUUAGUUGAAAACUAAAAGAUCAGAUACUAAGAAUGUUGAACUGGGCCAGGUAAUAGAAUCUCUGGUCUAAGGCUGCCGGGAUUUGUCAAAAACAGGGCCCUGUGGAUAUGUUUUUUCCUUUCUUGUUUUUUGAUGUAAGGGAGGAGACACCUUUGAGAGUCUGGGUUGUUCAGGUGGAACAGUGGACGGUAGAAAACAUGCGUUUAAAACACAGAAGACUACUCUCGAUUGCACAGCUUGUUAGAGGUUAGGUAAAGCCAUGUAAAUGGUCAGAAACAAACUGACUCUUGGGGAAGGUCAACAUUUGGAGAUAUGUGCAAGAAAGAAGCUGAGGGAGAUUAACAAAGAAAUCAAGCAGGAUGAGUAUUUCUGAGGUCUAGACUCUUACUAGAUUCUAAAGAGAAGAUAACUUCAGGAGGAAAUGAUGUUCAAGAGUUUCAAAUACUGGGGUGAGUGUUUGGCCUAGCAGUUGAGCCACUGCCUUGGGGUGCUAGCAUCCCACAUUGAGUGCCUCAUUGAGAAUCCCAGCUCUGCUUCUAAUUCCAGAUUUCUGCACAUCCAGGGAUGCAGCAGGCAAUGGAUUCAGUAGUUGGUUCCUUGCCAUACCCAUGGGAGACGUGGAUUGAAUUCCUAGAUCCUGGCUUUGGCCUAGCCUAGCCCUGUCUGUUGUGGGCAUUUGAUGACUAAAUCAGUAGAUGGGGGAAUUCUGUGUCUCUCCACCCAUUUAUCUCUGUCUCUCUGCCUUUCAAAUGAAUAAAAUAAAUUAUGCCAAAUGCUGCA